ensembl:ncRNA H06I04.14 ncRNA
CUCACUCAUCCCACCGAUAGAGCUCCGACGCGGAGGCGGAGGUGGGCUUGGCGGCUCACGUGGCGGUGGUGGAUCCCGUGGAAGUAGUGGCGGUGGAUUUGGAAGCCGAGGAUCGUCGGGAGCACGAACAUCU